ACGAACGCUGGCGGCACGCUUAACACAUGCAAGUCGAACGAGAGAAGAGAAGCUUGCUUUUCUGAUCUAGUGGCGGACGGGUGAGUAACACGUGAGCAAUCUGCCUUUCAGAGGGGGAUACCGAUUGGAAACGAUCGUUAAUACCGCAUAACAUAAUUGAACCGCAUGAUUUGAUUAUCAAAGAUUUAUCGCUGAAAGAUGAGCUCGCGUCUGAUUAGCUAGUUGGUAAGGUAACGGCUUACCAAGGCGACGAUCAGUAGCCGGACUGAGAGGUUGAUCGGCCACAUUGGGACUGAGACACGGCCCAGACUCCUACGGGAGGCAGCAGUGGGGAAUAUUGCACAAUGGAGGAAACUCUGAUGCAGCGAUGCCGCGUGAGGGAAGAAGGUUUUAGGAUUGUAAACCUCUGUCUUCAGGGACGAAAAAAGACGGUACCUGAGGAGGAAGCUCCGGCUAACUACGUGCCAGCAGCCGCGGUAAUACGUAGGGAGCGAGCGUUGUCCGGAAUUACUGGGUGUAAAGGGAGCGUAGGCGGGAUCGCAAGUCAGAUGUGAAAACUAUGGGCUUAACCCAUAAACUGCAUUUGAAACUGUGGUUCUUGAGUGAAGUAGAGGUAAGCGGAAUUCCUAGUGUAGCGGUGAAAUGCGUAGAUAUUAGGAGGAACAUCAGUGGCGAAGGCGGCUUACUGGGCUUUAACUGACGCUGAGGCUCGAAAGCGUGGGGAGCAAACAGGAUUAGAUACCCUGGUAGUCCACGCCGUAAACGAUGAUUACUAGGUGUGGGGGGACUGACCCCUUCCGUGCCGCAGCAAACGCAAUAAGUAAUCCACCUGGGGAGUACGACCGCAAGGUUGAAACUCAAAGGAAUUGACGGGGGCCCGCACAAGCAGUGGAGUAUGUGGAUUAAUUCGAAGCAACGCGAAGAACCUUACCAGGUCUUGACAUCGUAUGCAUAGCUCAGAGAUGAGUGAAAUCUCUUCGGAGACAUAUAGACAGGUGGUGCAUGGUUGUCGUCAGCUCGUGUCGUGAGAUGUUGGGUUAAGUCCCGCAACGAGCGCAACCCUUACUGUUAGUUGCUACGCAAGAGCACUCUAGCAGGACUGCCGUUGACAAAACGGAGGAAGGUGGGGAUGACGUCAAAUCAUCAUGCCCCUUAUGAGCAGGGCUACACACGUGCUACAAUGGCGUAAACAAAGUGAAGCGAAGUCGUGAGGCCAAGCAAAUCACAAAAAUAACGUCUCAGUUCGGAUUGUAGUCUGCAACUCGACUACAUGAAGCUGGAAUCGCUAGUAAUCGCAGAUCAGCAUGCUGCGGUGAAUACGUUCCCGGGCCUUGUACACACCGCCCGUCACGCCAUGGGAGUCGGUAACACCCGAAGCCUGUAGUCUAACCGCAAGGAGGACGCAGUCGAAGGUGGGAUUGAUGACUGGGGUG
rnacentral:rRNA from 1 species